rnacentral:snRNA from 1 species
AUACUUACCUGGCAGGGGAGAUACCAUGAUCAAGAAGGUGGUUCACCCAGGGCGAGGCUCAGCCAUUGCACUCCGGGUUGCGCUGACCCCUGCGAAUUCCCCAAAAUGUGGGAGUCUCGACUGCAUAAUUUCUGGUAGUGGGGGACUGCGUUCGCGGCCUCUCC